UGUCACAUUUUACUAUCCCCGCUUUGACACGUGUCACACUAGACUCUUGACAAGAGUACACUCCCUCCAUCUAUCGUGGCAAACAUCCGUUGACCCCCUCCCCCUCUUCCGGGAGCGGCUGGUCACUUCAAAGUGCCCAUUCAACUCAACGCCUCGGGCAACGCUGUUCGUCUAGCACUAGCCAUUAUCAUAAUAUAAUCUCCCUUGAUGUGCCGAGCUCUGAUAAUCUCCCCUUCAUAAUCCACCUGACCACCUGGGAUGAUUUCCUGGACUUUCAACUCGCGCCUUCGCGCAAUGUCUAUCUCCCGGAAACUCUCGUCACGGUCAAGCGUGGACCCCUUUUGUCAAAGACGUCAAAUAGUCUAGACCACCUUUGCACCUAUCUCCCGCCACUCACCCCCCCCCUUGGCUAUCCACGUGUAUAUGGACAAACUUCAUCGUCCGAUCUCAUUCACACUGGAGAGCCCAGAGGGAGCACAUCUAUCUCUUGCUUGAGCUCUAGACUAUUUUCAUUCCCUUAUUUCACUUUGGAUUGGUGGUAUGUAACUUAGUAAAGUGCUUGAGAACCAUUUUACUUAGUAAUGUAAAUAUAUAUUUGUGCAUUUAUUACUACAUUAUUUGUGUACAUAUUUGUGCAUUCUUAUCAUGGAUAAUGUAAGUAGAUUACUGUAUACUUAUAUUUUAUAUCAUGACUUUUGUGGCUAAAUGUUCAAACCAUCUGGACUAGAAUUUAUUAACAAUUCUUACCAGAUGUAUUUAGCUCUUUAACUAUUAUUAAUUUAACUCUGAUAUAUUAGCGCUCAGCACGAGCCUUUAUUAUAUUAUCAUUGAUUAAUUCCUUGGCAGGGAGUUAUCAAAGCAUUUCUGUAAACAUGUCUUAUUACUGAGUAUGUAUUUACUUAUGCUCUAUGUUUACUUAUGUGAGAGCACGGGCGAGUAUCACACGUUGAUCUCCCCAUCUCCUUUCAUCUCAUUUAUCUUAGUGAUGUAUGUACUUGCUAUUCACCGUGAUUGGUUAGCGUCACUUAUAUUACUAAUCACAUAUCACUUAUUACUGUUUGUUAUUUCCCUUUAUGGGAGUCCCCAUUAUUAUUGUUAUCUCCCUUGAUGGGACACUAUAUUCAUUUGUUAGGUCCCUUUGAUAAAUAUGAAACUAGCUUAUGGUUUCUAUACACCAGUCUGAAGAUGUCCUUCACGGAAAGGCAUCUACCUCCCAGUGUUAUCAUUAUGGCUAAGCCGAUUAUCACAUCAUAUCGUUGCAGCUUUUAUCUAUAGGCUACACCCGCCUGAAAUCUUAGCAACCUAAAGCUGAUAGCAGAUUUGCUGGCACCAGAUCUGUAGACAUCAGACCUACUCAUCCUUCAAGAGUCCAAGUAACAACGCUAGCCACAGACUCGUCACUGGCUUAACUGAUUGGUAGACGCAGCUUAGCUCUGCAACCAUACAAGUUGGACUGCACACGGAGCCUGGAUCCACUACGCCAGCCCACCAGCAGACACCAUCAGUACUAGCCACACCAGUCUCACCAGUGCAGCACAAGGACCAAAAGCUAAGCAACCAGCCUAAUGACACUCAGACCACUUGGUUCUAAUAUCUGAUGAUGAUAGUUCUAUAUAUGUAAAUACGCUAGAUUCCAUACUAGCAACUGUACAGCAUUUCACCUUUCAUUAUCUUAUGUUGUAUAAUAAACUGUACAUAAGUUUACAUCUAAAUAUAGUAUUUGUUGCCUGCAUUAUAACGCUGUGCUUGUAGUUUAUAUGUGCAAGUAAGGAUUCUCAAACUAUAAAAUCCCCUAGACACCCAAAACGGCCAAUAUCUUAAUCCGACUUGUCACAAUGGGGGCCUGUCCGGGAUUUUCCCAACUAAUACUACAAGCACAGCAGGCAACUCCCCAGUAUUUUAACUAUCAUCAUUGUUAGAGUACAAGUCUAUCGAGUGUCAUUUAGAGCUAUUUUAUUUUCAUUUAAUUUGUAUUGCUGUUAUUGUACUUCAUUUACAGUUUCUUAAGCACCAAACAAAGGUUAAUACCACCUUUCCUGUAACUCUUAAGUAAUUGCUUUCAGCAGCUCCAUCAUCGUCUCCACCUCUUACUCUACCUUCCGCCUUUCCCCUUCAUCACCCACCCUCACAAUCCUAGCACCCCUCACCACCAUGGCCAGUGGCACACGCUCCAAAGCGGACUCUGACAUGAAACAAAUAAUAGCUGAACUCAGAGAACUCGCGGCCGUCAUGUAUGACGAUGAGGCAGAGCAGAAAGAAUUUGUGAGGGCACAAAUUGAUAAGGAGAUGGAAGAAAGAAGAAAGGAGAAGGAAAGGAGACAUGAAAUAGCUAUGGAAAGAAAGAGAAGGGAAAUAGAAGUAGCCAUAGCCAAAGAGAAGGAAAUACUAGAAAUCAGAGAUAGCUAUAGGCCGCAGAGUUUGGAGCUGAACAGCACAUCCGCAAGACAAGACCAGGAAGCAGAGGAGAGUAAGACCAUGGCUCAUGUCCCAACUGGGUACACUGCCCAAACGGACACAGAAGUUACUGCUAAGGAUGAAAUAUUCAUGCCUGAUACCCCUCCUCUCAACAAUACCACAUUGUCUACUCAGCCCGACCCUCCUGCUCAGUCUAAUAGUCUCUGCGAUGCCCCAAUUCAGCCAAUGCCCUCGAGCAAAACCCCACCUAAAAAAGCACCAAUCCAACAACCAGCCACGCACGAAAACUGUAAUCGCCCAGCAUGUAAGCCUCGUCAUAACCAGAACGAAGCCCACCGUGACUGUAACAACAGCACGCGUGGCGACAAACCUAACCAAGCCUACCAUGACUGCAACAACAGCAUGCGUAGCCGCAAAUCUAACCGCAACCGCCAAAAGCAGCAGGCCCCACAGACCAUUUCAGUAAUGACCUCGGUCCUCAAACCCUCUGUGACUAAUCAGCAAACACAGACUGAUAGAACAGCGGGCGACCCAUACGUCAUAUCAACACUGACUGUGGCCCCUGAACCCACUUCUCUUGGCCUAACGGAAACGGAAGUCCUACCGUUACUUCCUCAACCUGUCUCAUCUCCCCCUGGGAUAGAGACCAUUCUGGUAAAUGGGCGGUACGUCCGAUCCUUAUUUGACACAGGCUGUGCGGUAAGUUCAGUUAUCUGCAAAGCACUGGUUGACCCAGCUGAUCUCACAGAUAGAACUGUGACGAUUCAGUCCAUUGACCGUGAGAUCCCUCCAAAGGUUCUUCCUAUUGCUAGGGUCCACGUAGAGUGCAAGUACGUGCAUGGUACCAUUGAGGCAGUUGUCAUGGAAUCGCCAGUGUAUGACUUCAUUCUAGGCUCCAGGUACAUACCUCUAGGAGUUGUCAAUAAACCAUACUUCUCUCUGCCCGUUGGUAGAACGACAAAGCAGAAAGGUGGCAGCAACCAGCCGGUUGGAAGCCCUGGUCGCCACUCUAACAAAUCCUUUACUGGCUCCUCAGCCAAGCUCAAGCCGCGCCACCCUGGCACUGACACUGCCGGGAAAUCACGAGGUAAGCGUAAUAACUACACUCGUGAAGGUCCGUUUAACUCCUGCUCCUCAGCAAUCAAACCGCUCAUCCCUGGCACUGGCACUGCCAGGAAGUCACAGAGGAAAGUGAACUUUCACUCUCGUGAAAGUGGGCCUCAUCACGGCUCCACCCACACUAUAAGGCCACUCUUCCCUGACAUUGACCGUGUCUGGAAAAUUAGAGGUAAGCCGAUCAAUCGCACUCACGAAGAAACGCCUCACUAUGGCUUUAGAGAUAAGCCCCGUCCAACAUACGCGCAUUGGGCCCUCCGCCAUAACGUCCAUCCCACUUACUGGUCUGCCCCAAGAAGGAGAUGUACCCAGUCCUAUCUACCCGGCCUAUUUCCCCAGGUUUCCAGAAUUGCCCCUUCCACGUGGCAAUCCGCCUGCGGACAGAACAUAGGCGACAGCGGUCCCUUAGGACGGACACCCCUCUGGACCUUGGCAACCUCUUAACUACUGGGAAAAUUUUCUUAAAUGCUACGACCGACAGUAGACGAAACUUGAGUGAUAUCAACGUGAGCACUUUAUAGAUCUUUUAACCAAGACCUAUCUUACGCGGGGAGGGUUGUGACGAACCGUUUUAGCUCACUCAAGAUAUCACUCAGGUCUAAGCAUUUAAUUAAUUUAUUUACUCGCUAUUAAUCGUCAAUUUUAUUAAUUUAGCCAAUCAAGCGCUAAAAACACAGCUACCACCCCUCCAAUCCAACCCCACCCCUUUGGCAUCGAUGUCACAUUUUACUAUCCCCGCUUUGACACGUGUCACACUAGACUCUUGACAAGAGUACACUCCCUCCAUCUAUCGUGGCAAACAUCCGUUGACCCCCUCCCCCUCUUCCGGGAGCGGCUGGUCACUUCAAAGUGCCCAUUCAACUCAACGCCUCGGGCAACGCUGUUCGUCUAGCACUAGCCAUUAUCAUAAUAUAAUCUCCCUUGAUGUGCCGAGCUCUGAUAAUCUCCCCUUCAUAAUCCACCUGACCACCUGGGAUGAUUUCCUGGACUUUCAACUCGCGCCUUCGCGCAAUGUCUAUCUCCCGGAAACUCUCGUCACGGUCAAGCGUGGACCCCUUUUGUCAAAGACGUCAAAUAGUCUAGACCACCUUUGCACCUAUCUCCCGCCACUCACCCCCCCCCCCUUGGCUAUCCACGUGUAUAUGGACAAACUUCAUCGUCCGAUCUCAUUCACACUGGAGAGCCCAGAGGGAGCACAUCUAUCUCUUGCUUGAGCUCUAGACUAUUUUCAUUCCCUUAUUUCACUUUGGAUUGGUGCUUUUAUCUAUAGGCUACACCCGCCUGAAAUCUUAGCAACCUAAAGCUGAUAGCAGAUUUGCUGGCACCAGAUCUGUAGACAUCAGACCUACUCAUCCUUCAAGAGUCCAAGUAACAACGCUAGCCACAGACUCGUCACUGGCUUAACUGAUUGGUAGACGCAGCUUAGCUCUGCAACCAUACAAGUUGGACUGCACACGGAGCCUGGAUCCACUACGCCAGCCCACCAGCAGACACCAUCAGUACUAGCCACACCAGUCUCACCAGUGCAGCACAAGGACCAAAAGCUAAGCAACCAGCCUAAUGACACUCAGACCACUUGGUUCUAAUAUCUGAUGAUGAUAGUUCUAUAUAUGUAAAUACGCUAGAUUCCAUACUAGCAACUGUACAGCAUUUCACCUUUCAUUAUCUUAUGUUGUAUAAUAAACUGUACAUAAGUUUACAUCUAAAUAUAGUAUUUGUUGCCUGCAUUAUAACGCUGUGCUUGUAGUUUAUAUGUGCAAGUAAGGAUUCUCAAACUAUAAAAUCCCCUAGACACCCAAAACGGCCAAUAUC